rnacentral:rRNA from 1 species
UACAGAGGUCCCAAGCGUUGUUCGGAUUCACUGGGCGUAAAGGGUGCGUAGGCGGUCGGGUAAGUCUGAUGUGAAAUCUCACAGCUUAACUGUGAAACUGCAUUGGAUACUAUCCGGCUCGAGGAAUGGAGGGGAGACUGGAAUACUUGGUGUAGCAGUGAAAUGCGUAGAUAUCGGGAGGAACACCUGUGGCGAAAGCGGCUCACUGGACCACAACUGACGCUGAGGCGCGAAAGCUAGGGUAGCGAACGGG